CAUGGUUUCACUUUGCGCUCUAGAUGCCCUGCAGCGUAGUACUAGUCUUACAACCACGUGAAUUUGUUCACAUUUCUCCGUGAAACCUGUUGAAAGAAGCUGUGUUGUGAGGUUGGGAGCCGGGAAAUAUCAGAGAGAAGACAUUUCCUUGCAAUGUCCUACAGAAGAGAUGCCAGGAUCCUUCUAGUUACAAGGAUUCGGAGGUGCUUAAAGGGUCACCUUCUUCAAGACUCAGCCUGCUCUUCAGCAGUUCUGGAACAUGUUGGAAGAAACUGGAUGAUCAGCGACCUAAUGAAUAAUCUAUUUUAUUCAAUACCAUUUAUUAAUUUAUAAUUAUAUCAAACUGUUAUUUGUGAG
rnacentral:lncRNA from 1 species